GGGCGAUUAACUCAGGGGUAGAGUGUCUCGGUGACAUCGAGGAAGCCAUUGGUUCAAAUCCAAUAUCGCCCACCA
rnacentral:tRNA from 4 species